AGAGCUUUCUGUUGUUUAUUACACUGAAAUGUAUCAAUCCACAGAUGCAGAGGAAGUAAUCAAAGCAGUGGAAGGAGCCACUGUCCAUCUGCCCUGCCAUUUACCUCCUGAAGAGAGUCUACAGGUUACAGUAGAGUGGAGCAUCAAUACAACCAGUGACAGUUCUAGUUGUACAUGGAGCAUUGAUCACAACUCUGUAUCUCCCUUGAAAGAUUGCUUUCAUCGUUUUAAACUGACCAUUGAGCCUAUUAGAUUAGAGAUAGAAAAUGUUCAGCCUGGUGACUCUGGUAAAUACAGCUGUAAAACAACAAGAGUAAUUCCAACUCCGUCAGUGGACGAAAGCUCAUCUCUGAUUCUCCAAGUUGCAGGUAAUUUUGCUGUUCAGAAAUGAUUCUGAAAUGCAGAUACCAGGAUUUUCCAGCUGUUUUUGUGGCUUUGUUGAGCGUCUUCAUCCUCUGCAUCAGUUUCAUCUGGAUCUUGCUCUACAUUUUACGAUACAAAUCUCAGACCUGCCGUCCUGAACCAUCAACAUCAGAAGAAGGAAGACAAAACACUCAACCCAGUAAGAUCCCUCUUCGUCCUUUAGCAAGUUACUUUAAACUAGUUAUACUUUAAGUUUUACCAUGACCCUUUAGACUA
ensembl:processed_transcript